AGAACGUUAGCUCAACUGGAAGAGCGUCUGCCCGUCACGCAGAAGGUUAUGAGUUCGAAUCCCAUACGUUCUU
rnacentral:tRNA from 1 species